UUAAUGUGGCAGCAUUUUGUGUAAGCCCUAGUUCAAUUCUGUUGACUUAUGCCGGUUAAGUGGAGCAAUGACUUGCUGAGAGCCCUGCGGCUCACACGGAGCUGGACUCCGGCAUUUAAGCCCAGGUGCUUAUGUCUCAGACUCCCCCAGCUCCGAGUCUGGAAAUCCAGAGCCAGGGAGAUUUGCACGGAGGUCCUCUCUUCUCAGAAGAAGCCAAGAGCCAGCCCCUUGCCAGCCACAUAAACUCGUCAGGCAGGAAGCCGGCGCCCACAUUCUGGCUUGCCCUGUUGGACUGUCUCAGGCAAUUGAAAGUGAACAGAGGAGAAUGGGAGCCUGCAUCCCUUGAAUAGCGCUUGCUGAAGGGCUACUCCUCCUAGGCCAGGGGGAUGGGAGAGGACAUUGGCAGAACAGCAAGUUCUUAAUAAAAGUAAC